CAUAGUCUAGGUAAUUCAUAUAACGGAAAUAGCAUGUGUUCAUUUUGUUUAUCCUCAUUGUACUUACUUUUCUUAAUAUUUCCUCUUGUUACCUCUCAUUUCCAUAGGUACAUAUACAAAUAGUCGAUUAUGCGUAUCUGUUAGAGACUACUAUUUUCUACAAGUUUCAAAUACGUCGUGGUGUAUUUAACACCAUGCUAUAUGGUAAACGACUGUUCCAACAGUAUGUGGUUGAUAUGUACAUCAAGGUUGAAAGCUCAAGAUUGGACUAUAUCAGAAAUCACCAGAAACAAAUACGUGCUGAUCUAUACCAAGGUGUUGUUGAUAGCCUUCAAGCUGGGGAAAAACGUGCGGAUGCAGUGGGCAAAUGGACUAUACUUCCUACAUCAUUUAUUGGGGGAAAAAGAGAUAGGAGACGAAGGUAUCUUGAUGCCAUGGCCUUGGUGCAAAAGUAUGGGAAACCAGAUAUAUUUUUAACCAUGACUUGCAAUCCAAAUUGGGAUGAGAUAAUUAGUGAGCUAGAGCCUGGACAAACCCCACAGGAUCGCCCUGAUCUUAUCGUACGAGUAUUUCGAGCAAAGUUGGAAGACCUCAAGAUACAACUUUUUAAGAAGCACAUGCUCGGUAAGGUAGCAGCAUAUGUUUAUGUCGUUGAGUUUCAGAAAAGAGGUCUACCACAUGCUCAUUUCCUCCUAAUCAUGGAGGGGAGGUACAAGCUAACUUGCCCAGAGCAAUAUGACUGUCUAAUAUCUGCUGAAUUGCCAGACAAAUCCAAGUACCCAGAGUUGUACAAAAUGGUCGUCAAGCACAUGAUGCAUGGCCCGUGUGGAGUCCUCAACCCCAAGAACGUGUGCAUGCAAAAUGGUAGCUGCAAGAACUACUAUCCACGACCAUUUAAUGCGUCAACCCUUCAGGGAAAGGACUCAUAUCCCAUAUACCGGAGGAGAGAUGAUGGACGUCGUGCGAAGGUAUGGGGUGAAGAUUUAGACAAUAGGUGGGUUGUUCCAUACAAUCCUUACCUACUAAGAAGGUAUAACUGCCACAUCAAUGUUGAGGUUUGCUCAAGCAUAAAAGUUGUGAAGUACCUCUUUAAAUACAUAUAUAAGGGGCAUGAUCGAGCAUCUGUUUCUAUCGACGCGGUGGAUAGUGACGGAAACAUUGAUGAAAUAAAGCAAUACAGAGAUUCCAGAUGGGUUACACCACCAGAAGCAUUAUGGAGGAUCUAUGGUUUUGACCUUAGUGAGAUAUUUCCUUCUGUUAGGCAGCUACAACUCCACCUCCCUAAUAUGCACAUGGUGUCAUUCCCGGCGGGCGCAAAUCUGAAUGAUGUCCUCUCCCAGGAAGGAGCUCCCAAGACCAUGCUAACCGAGUAUUUUGAAGCAAACAAGAAGUAUGAGUUGGCCUGGGGAAUUUUAUAUAAGGAUUUUCCGGCAUCUUUUAUUUGGAUCUCGGGUGGAAAGUAUUGGAAAAGGAGGGAUGAACGCACACAGAUCGGGAGAAUUGUGUCUGCUCAUCCAGCCGAAGGGGAGAGGUAUUAUCUUAGAGUGCUUCUAAACCAUGUCACAGGUGCUACAUCUUUCCAAGACCUAAGGACAGUGGAUGGUAUUGUUUUCCCGACAUUUCGUGAAGCUGCUGAAAGGAGGGGUCUUAUCGAGUCAGAUAAUACUAUUGACGAGUGUCUUAAUGAAGCUGAGGUUUUUCAGAUGCCAUCUUCCCUUCGAAGGCUAUUUGCCACUAUAUUGGUCUUUUGUGAGCCCAGCAAUGUGCGUGUUCUAUGGGACAGGCACUUGGAAGCUAUGACAGAAGACUAUCGACUAUACCACAUGUCCCCUCAUGCAGUUGAGCAGAUGGCUUUGUUAGAUAUAAAAAGUAUGUUUGAAUCGAUGGGGAAGGACAUAUCAUCAUUCCCUCUUCCAGAAAUUGAUGAGUCGUAUGAUGGCUCAAAUAACGAGGCUAGGGAGAUCACAGAGGAGUCGACGAUAGGGGUGAACCCAGAACACCUUGGCUUUUCAUCUUUCCUAAACCCAGAACAGAGAUAUGCAUAUGAUGAGAUACUUGCAACAAUCAAUAGUGGCCAAGGAGGUGUGUUCUUUGUUGAUGGACCAGGAGGCACUGGAAAGACUUAUCUAUACAAAGCACUACUUGCAAAAGUACGUGGUGAGGGUAAAAUAGCUAUUGCAAUAGCGACAUCAGGCGUUGCUGCAUCCAUCUUGCCCGGCGGGAGGACUGCACACUCAAGGUUUAAAAUACCAUUGAACAUUGAAGAUGGUGGAGUUUGCAGCUUCACCAAGCAAAGUGGGACAGCUAAGCUUCUUAUGAGCGCCUCCCUCAUAAUUUGGGAUGAGGCCUCCAUGACAAGGAGACAGGCAGUCGAGGCCCUUGAUAAUAGCAUGAGGGACAUCAUGGCUCAACCUGACCUGCCAUUUGGCGGAAAGACUAUCGUGUUUGGGGGAGAUUUCAGACAAGUGCUUCCUGUUGUUCGCAAGGGAACAAGGUCACAAAUAAUUGACGCGACGCUACGCAAGUCUUACCUUUGGGAGAGUAUGAGACAUAUAAGACUUGUCCGUAAUAUGAGGGCUCAAAGUGAUCCAUGGUUUGCUGAUUAUCUUCUGCGUGUUGGGAAUGGCACCGAAGAUACUAUGGAUGAUGGUUACAUACGAUUCCCAGAUGAGAUUUGUGUACCAUAUACCGGCGUUGCCUCUGAUAUUGACAAGCUUAUUGAAAGUGUUUUCCCGAUGCCGCUAGAUGAAAACCUCUUGGAUCCAAACUACAUAACGUCCCGAGCAAUUCUAUCAACUCGGAAUGAGUACGUUGACAAAAUCAAUAUGAGGAUGAUUGAGAGAUUUCCUGGGGAGGAGAUGAUAUACUACAGUUUUGAUCGCGCGGAGGAUGAUCCACACAACUACUACCCUGCAGAAUUCUUGAAUUCAUUGACACCUAAUGGUAUACCUCCCCAUAUCCUCAAGUUGAAGAUAAUUGUUCUAUUAUAUUGUUACGGAACAUUGACCCAGCGAGUGGGUUGUGCAACGGGACGAGGCUGAUUGUCUGAGGGUUCAUGAGGAAUGCAAUUGAUGCUGAGAUUGUGCUGGGCCAGCAUGCCGGUAAGAGGGUGUUCCUUCCUCGAAUUCCUCUUUGCCCAUCAGAUGAUGAGAUGUUUCCAUUUAGGUUCAAGAGGAAGCAGUUUCCAGUCAGGCUUAGCUUUGCUAUGACCAUUAACAAGGCACAGGGACAAACUAUACCAAAUGUUGGUGUAUACCUCCCUGAACCGGUAUUUUCACACGGGCAACUCUAUGUUGCUCUUUCUAGAGCUAUAUCAAGAAGUAAUAUGAAGAUUCUUACUGUCCCAGAAAAGCAAAAGGAAGGCCAAACCAACUCCAAUGCAAAUUUUACAAAGAACAUAGUCUACAAAGAAGUUCUCAGCCUGUAGUUCAAGGUGAGCAGAUGGAUGAUGUGAGAGGCCCAAAACUAAUAUGGUUGGCAUAAAUGUUUUGAGCAAACAACUAAAGAGGAGUUCACAGGGCUUGCAUUUGACGAAGCCACUGUUCGAAGGAUGCUGGCACAUGGCACAUCAUUUUGCCAUAGUAAUCUUGCUUAUGGAGCCCGAUUAUUUUGGUUGUACUUGUAUGUACUCAUGUAUGCAAGUUAUGCACCAAGUGUUUUAUUUUAUUGUUUUCUCUUUUCUCAUGUGAGUUAUCGUGGCUUGUUACUGGAUGUGAUAUGUUUGUGAGGUGCUCAAUGUCUUUACCAUUUCUAGCAGAUAAUUGUGUGCGGGUUGGAAUUGUAGUCCAUGUUAAGCAAACAGAAGCCAAAGACAGGCAAAUGGAGAGAUAAAGCUGGUGAAUGUUGUCA